rnacentral:rRNA from 1 species
UACGAAGGGGGCUAGCGUUGUUCGGAUUUACUGGGCGUAAAGCGCACGUAGGCGGAUCGUUAAGUCGGGGGUGAAAUCCUGGAGCUCAACUCCAGAACUGCCUUCGAUACUGGCGAUCUUGAGUCCGGAAGAGGUAAGUGGAACUCCUAGUGUAGAGGUGAAAUUCGUAGAUAUUAGGAAGAACACCAGUGGCGAAGGCGGCUCACUGGCCCGGUACUGACGCUGAGGCGCGAAAGCGUGGGGAGCAAACAGG